GUGUCAGCCGCCGCGGUAAGACGAACCGUGCGAACGUUGUUCGGAAUCACUGGGCUUAAAGGGCGCGUAGGCGGGCUACCAAGUCUGUGGUGAAAUCCUCCAGCUCAACUGGAGAACGGCCGUGGAUACUGGGAGCCUCGAGGGAGAUAGGGGCAGGCGGAACUGAUGGUGGAGCGGUGAAAUGCGUUGAUAUCAUCAGGAACUCCGGUGGCGAAGGCGGCCUGCUGGAUCUCAUCUGACGCUGAGGCGCGAAAGCCAGGGGAGCAAACGGGAUUAGAAACCCUUGUAGUCC
rnacentral:rRNA from 1 species